rnacentral:rRNA from 1 species
UUGAAGAGUUUGAUCAUGGCUCAGAUGAACGCUGGCGGCAGGCCUAACACAUGCAAGUCGAACGGUAACAGGAAACAGCUUGCUGUUUCGCUGACGAGUGGCGGACGGGUGAGUAAUGUCUGGGAAACUGCCUGAUGGAGGGGAUAACUACUGGAAACGGUAGCUAAUACCGCGAUAACGUCGCAAGACCAAAGAGGGGGACCUUCGGGCCUCUUGCCAUCGGAUGUGCCCAGAUGGGAUUAGCUUGUUGGUGGGGUAACGGCUCACCAAGGCGACGAUCCCUAGCUGGUCUGAGAGGAUGACCAGCCACACUGGAACUGAGACACGGUCCAGACUCCUACGGGAGGCAGCCAGUGGGGAAUAUUGCACAAUGGGCGCAAGCCUGAUGCAGCCAUGCCGCGUGUAUGAAGAAGGCCUUCGGGUUGUAAGUACUUUCAGCGGGAGGAAGGGAGUAAAGUUAAUACCUUUGCCUCAUUGACGUUACCCGCAGAAGAAGCACCGGCUAACUCCGUGCCAGCAGCCGCGGUAAUACGGAGGGUGCAAGCGUUAAUCGGAAUUACUGGGCGUAAAGCGCACGCAGGCGGUUUGUUAAGUCAGAUGUGAAAUCCCCGGGCUCACCUGGGAACUGCAUCUGAUACUGGCAAGCUUGAGUCUCUCGUAGAGGGGGGUAGAAUUCCAGGUGUAGCGGUGAAAUGCGUAGAGAUCUGGAGGAAUACCGGUGGCGAAGGCGGCGCCCUGGACGAAGACUGAACGCUCAGGUGCGAAGCGUGGGGAGCAAACAGGAUUAGAUACCCCUGGUAGUCCACGCCGUAAACGAUGUCGACUUGGAGGUUGUGCCUUGAGGCGUGGCUUCCGGAGCUAACGCGUUAAGUCGACCCGCCUGGGGAGUACGGCCGCAAGGUUAAAACUCAAAUGAAUUGACGGGGGCCCGCACAAGCGGUGGAGCAUGUGGUUUAAUUCGAUGCAACGCGAAGAACCUUACCUGGUCUUGACAUCACGAACUUU